CCUACGGGGGGCAGCAGUGGGGAAUCUUCCGCAAUGGACGAAAGUCUGACGGAGCAACGCCGCGUGAGUGAUGACGGCCUUCGGGUUGUAAAGCUCUGUUAAUCGGGACGAAAGGUCCUCUUGCGAAUAGUUAGAGGAAUUGACGGUACCGGAAUAGAAAGCCACGGCUAACUACGUGCCAGCAGCCGCGGUAAUACGUAGGUGGCAAGCGUUGUCCGGAAUUAUUGGGCGUAAAGCGCGCGCAGGCGGAUCAGUCAGUCUGUCUUAAAAGUUCGGGGCUUAACCCCGUGAAGGGAUGGAAACUGCUGAUCUAGAGUAUCGGAAAGGAAAGUGGAAUUCCUAGUGUAGCGGUGAAAUGCGUAGAUAUUAGGAAGAACACCAGUGGCGAAGGCGACUUUCUGGACGAAAACUGACGCUGAGGCGCGAAAGCCAGGGGAGCGAACAGGAUUAGAUACCCGUGUAGUC
rnacentral:rRNA from 1 species